CACGUAGGCACCAAGCGUUGUCCGGAUUUAUUGGGCGUAAGGAGCUCGUAGGCGGUUCAGUAAGUCGGGUGUGAAAACUCUGGGCUUAACCCGGAGAGGCCACUCGAUACUGCUGAACUUGAGUACGGUAGGGGAGUGGGGAAUUCCUGGUGUAGCGGUGAAAUGCGCAGAUAUCAGGAGGAACACCGGUGGCGAAGGCGCCACUCUGGGCCGAAACUGACGCUGAGGAGCGAAAGCGUGGGUAGCAAACAGG
rnacentral:rRNA from 1 species